AGACCUUUAGUUUGAACCCCGAAACCAGGUGAGCUACCCCGAGACAGCCUAUAUUGAUUUAGGGCUAACCCGUCUCUGUGGCAAAAGAGUGGGAAGAGCUCCGGGUAGAAGUGACAGACCUACCGAACCUGGUGAUAGCUGGUUGCCUGAGAAGUGGAUAGAAGUUCAGCCUCGCACACCCCAAGCCAGAGAAUACACCGCUAAGGCACUCAGGGAAAUGUGGGAGAGUUAGUUAAAGGGGGUACAGCCCCUUUAACAAAGGAUACAACCUUUGCAGGAGGAUAAAGAUCAUAAUAUAUAAAACAUGCUGCUCUAGUGGGCCUAAAGGCAGCCACCUAAACAGAAAGCGUUAAAGCUCAGGCAGAAAGAAGUUUAUUAUACCGAUAAAAAAUCUUACUCCCCUAAUUAUAUCAGGCCAACCCAUGCCAACAUGGAAGAGAUUAUGCUAAAAUGAGUAACAAGAAGACCUGCUCUUCUCCCAGCACAAGUGUAAGCCAGAUCGGACUAACCACUGGAACUUAACGAACCCAACCCAAGAGGGUAGUGUGAAUAGUACAGAUCCCAAGAAGAACUCACAACUAAACAAUCGUUAACCCCACACUGGAGUGCUAUUAUAAAGGAAAGACUAAAAGAGGGGGAAGGAACUCGGCAAACACAAGCCUCGCCUGUUUACCAAAAACAUCGCCUCCUGCAACUAUAUUGAGUAUAGGAGGUCCAGCCUGCCCAGUGACUACGGGUUCAACGGCCGCGGUAUUUUGACCGUGCAAAGGUAGCGCAAUCACUUGUCUCUUAAAUAGAGACCUGUAUGAAUGGCUAGACGAGGGCUUAACUGUCUCCCCCCUCCAGUCAGUGAAAUUGAUCUAUCCGUGCAGAAGCGGGUAUAAUUAUACAAGACGAGAAGACCCUUUGGAGCUUAAGGUACAAAAUUCAACCACGUUAAACGACCUCCUAAAGGGCAAGAACUUAGUGGCCAAUGAAGUUUUACCUUCGGUUGGGGCGACCACGGAGGAGAAAAAAGCCUCCGAGUGGACUGGGUUAAAACCCAAAGCUAAGAGAUACAUCUCUAAGCCGCAGAACAUCUGACCAAAAGUGAUCCGGCUAAAAAGCCGAUCAACGAACCAAGUUACCCUAGGGAUAACAGCGCAAUCCUCUCCCAGAGUCCAUAUCGACGAGGGGGUUUACGACCUCGAUGUUGGAUCAGGACAUCCUAAUGGUGCAGCCGCUAUUAAGGGU
rnacentral:rRNA from 1 species